GAGUUUGAUCCUGGCUCAGAAUCAACGCUGGCGGCGUGCCUAACACAUGCAAGUCGAACGCGGUUAGUAGCAAUACUAACUGAGUGGCGAACGGGUGAGUAACGCGUGGGUGACCUACCUUCGAGUGGGGGAUAACGUCCCGAAAGGGACGCUAAUACCGCAUGACAUCCUGCCUUUGAACAGGCGGAGAUCAAAGCCGGGGAUCGCAAGACCUGGCGCUUGAUGAGGGGCCCGCGUCUGAUUAGCUAGUUGGUGAGGUAACGGCUCACCAAGGCGACGAUCAGUAUCCGGCCUGAGAGGGCGGACGGACACACUGGGACUGAGACACGGCCCAGACUCCUACGGGAGGCAGCAGUGGGGAAUUGUUCACAAUGGGCGCAAGCCUGAUGACGCAACGCCGCGUGGAGGAUGAAGGUCUUCGGAUUGUAAACUCCUGUUGCUCGGGAAGAAUGGCUCCGACCUAAUACGUCGGAGUGUGACGGUACCGGGUGAGGAA
rnacentral:rRNA from 1 species